ACGAACGCUGGCGGCGUGCUUAACACAUGCAAGUCGAACGGUGAAGCUCCAGCUUGCUGGAGUGGAUCAGUGGCGAACGGGUGAGUAACACGUGAGCAACCUGCCCCUGACUCUGGAAUAAGCGCUGGAAACGGCGUCUAAUACUGGAUACGAGAAGGGUCCGCAUGGGCACUUUCUGGAAAGUUUUUCGGUUGGGGAUGGGCUCGCGGCCUAUCAGCUUGUUGGUGAGGUAAUGGCUCACCAAGGCGACGACGGGUAGCCGGCCUGAGAGGGCGACCGGCCACACUGGGACUGAGACACGGCCCAGACUCCUACGGGAGGCAGCAGUGGGGAAUAUUGCACAAUGGGCGAAAGCCUGAUGCAGCGACGCCGCGUGAGGGAUGACGGCCUUCGGGUUGUAAACCUCUUUCAGCAGGGAAGAAGCGAGAGUGACGGUACCUGCAGAAGAAGCACCGGCUAACUACGUG
rnacentral:rRNA from 1 species